rnacentral:rRNA from 1 species
UACGUAGGGGGCAAGCGCUGUCCGGAAUCAUUGGGCGUAAAGAGCGUGUAGGCGGCUCGGUAAGUCCGCUGUGAAAGUCCAGGGCUCAACCCUGGAAUGCCGGUGGAAACUGUCGAGCUAGAGUCCGGAAGAGGCGAGUGGAAUUCCUGGUGUAGCGGUGAAAUGCGCAGAUAUCAGGAGGAACACCAAUGGCGAAGGCAGCUCGCUGGGACGGUACUGACGCUGAGACGCGAAAGCGUGGGGAGCAAACAGG